UCAUCGUAGGGUUAGUCGGGACCUAAGUCGAGUCCGAAAGGGGUAGACGAUGGCAAAUAGGUUAAUAUUCCUAUACCGACGGUUGUUUGUUUGAAUGAUGGGGGGACGCAUAGAGUUAAUCGAGCUCACUGAUGGAACAGUGGGUCGAAGGACGUAGGUCGAGAAGUAGGCAAAUCCGCUUCUCACGAGACCGAGAUCUUACAGGCUCUUCAAUGCUUUCGAGCAGCGAGGAGAAUCGAUGAUACUGUCGUGCCGAGAAAAGCCUCUAUAUGAGAACAACCGUUGCCCGUACCGUAAACCGACACAGGUGGGUGAGAUGAGUAUUCUAAGGCGCGUGGAAGAACCCUGGUUAAGGAACUCUGCAAACUAGCACCGUAUCUUCGGUAGAAGGUGUGCCUACUUUGGUAUAGAGAUUUACUCUCGAAGGCUAAAGAGGUUGCAACAAAGAGUCCCUCCCGA
rnacentral:rRNA from 1 species